UGGGGAAUUUUGGACAAUGGGGGCAACCCUGAUCCAGCAAUGCCGCGUGAGUGAAGAAGGCCUUCGGGUUGUAAAGCUCUUUUGUCCGGGAAGAAACGGUUGUCUCUAAUACAGAUGGCUAAUGACGGUACCGGAAGAAUAAGCACCGGCUAACUACGUGCCAGCAGCCGCGGUAAUACGUAGGGUGCGAGCGUUAAUCGGAAUUACUGGGCGUAAAGCGUGCGCAGGCGGUUGUGCAAGACAGAUGUGAAAUCCCCGGGCUUAACCUGGGAAUUGCAUUUGUGACUGCACGGCUAGAGUGUGUCAGAGGGGGGGUAGAAUUCCACGUGUAGCAGUGAAAUGCGUAGAUAUGUGGAGGAUACCGAUGGCGAAGGCAGCCCCCUGGGAUGACACUGACGCUCAUGCACGAAAGCGUGGGGAGCAAACAGGAUUAGAGUACCCUGGUAGUCCACGACCCU
rnacentral:rRNA from 1 species